AAGGAAUAAUAAUGAUGAUGAUGAUGAUGAUCAUCAUCAUCAUCAUCAUUUUGU
rnacentral:miRNA from 1 species